rnacentral:rRNA from 1 species
UACGUAGGGUGCAAGCGUUGUCCGGAAUUAUUGGGCGUAAAGAGCUCGUAGGCGGUCUGUCGCGUCUGCUGUGAAAACUCAGGGCUUAACCCUGAGCUUGCAGUGGGUACGGGCAGACUAGAGUGCGGUAGGGAGACUGGAAUUCCGUGGUGAUAGCGGUGAAAUGACGCAGAUAUCAGGAGGAACACCGGUGGCGAAGGCGGGUCUCUGGCCGUAACUGACGCUGGAGGAGCGAAAGCUGGGGAGCGAACAGG